rfam:Treponema porcinum strain ATCC BAA-908 genome assembly, contig: EI69DRAFT_scaffold00009.9
GCCGGAGUGGUGGAAUGGUAGACACGAAAGACUCAAAAUCUUUUGCGGGCGACUGCGUAAGAGUUCAAGUCUCUUCUCCGGUA